UAGAGUGAGGGGUGACUAGGGGCAGAGUGAGGGGAUGACUGGUGACAGUGAGGGAGGGGGUGACUAGUGACAAGGAGGGGGUGACUCACUCUGUCACUAGUCACCACCUCCCUCACUCUGUCACUAGUCACCACCUUCCUCACUCUGUCACUAGUCACCACCUCCCUCACUACUCCCUCCUUCUGUCACUAGUCACCACCUCCGUCCCUUACUCUGUCACUAGUCAUCCCCCUCUCACUC